UGCACAUAUUUUUUGUAUUCUAAAUCAGUUUUUCUCUUUCCUGGAUGAACUUUCUGUACAAAGAGCAAUAUGAAUGAACAAAUGAAUGCUAUUACAGCCAGAGCAAUCUUUUUAUUCAGUCAUGUCUGCACCGAGCUGAAUCAGAACCCGAGGGGGAACACAAAAGCCAUCACUUUCCCUGACUUUGAGGAAUUUCUGGACAUCAUCUUCAACCAGGACUGAGAAAAAAAUGACACACUGAAGAACAACCCACUGGAGAACAGCAGCCUCCAGAACUAAGAACCUCUGGAAAUAAAGGUUAAAAUCAUACAUCUCUUUUUGUGCCUGCAAAUAGCUGUUAGG